rnacentral:misc_RNA from 2 species
AACGCACAUUGCGCCCUCUGGUAUUCCGGGGGGCAUGCCCGUUCGAGCGUCAUUACAAACCAUCAAGCUCCGCUUGGCCAUGGGCGUCCGCCCCCUCUUUCAUUGGGGGGCGCGCCCCAAACAUCUCGGCGGCGGCUCCGAGCCUCGAAGCGUAGUAGAAUCUUCUCGCUUCUUGAGGCGCGGCGUUGCUUGCCACCAGCACACCAAACACCUUCAAGGUUGACCUCGGAUCGGGUAGGGAUACCCGCUGAACUUAA